rnacentral:piRNA from 1 species
UUAGCACUAGAACUUGGGAUCUGAGCCUU